GCAAGGAAGAGGAAGAAGAGGAGGAGGAGGAGGGGGACAAAGGACAAUAUUGCUUGUGAUGUCGACGAAGUGCUUUUGCCUGACCCAGGCCAAAGACAAGAAGCACAUUGAUCACGUUUACUCCUUUCAUUUGUGUCCCUUUGAGUAUCGUAUACUGUAGUACAGUGCACUGCUGUAGACUGUACAAUGAAAAAAAUAUGAAAUUUGUUUUGAGAUUUGUUUUGACAUAUAGUUCUCCCUGAGAACUAUAUGUUUUGAACAAUGUUUUUUAAUUGUUUUUUUGGUGUAUUGUUUAUUGACUGCUUGAUGGUGUAUAGCAUUUUGAUCACUUUGUUUAUGUUUUGAGAGCAGUGUUUGAAUUUGAACACAGGUAAAACUGUUUUGAGGCGAAAGUUUCAUUUUGCAAGAGGAGUCAGAGGUUUUGUAAAUAGUGCUUGAAGAUGAGGUUUUGUGUUUAAUGUUUUCAGAAAAUGGAGCAAGGUUUCAGAAAUUGUGUUUUAGCAAUUGAGAAAAACUGUAAU